GUGAUGCUCCUAAAUGUCCUGGGCGACACGCGCACUACAAUGACUAAGUGAAUGAGUGAAACCUUCGGGUCCUUCUGCGAGAGCAGCGGGUAAACUUCGAAAGCUAAGUCGUGCUUGGGAUCGAAGCUUGCAAUUAUUCUUCUUGAACGAGGAAUGUCUAGUAGACGUGCUUCAUCAAAGCACAUUGACUACGUCCCUGCCAUUUGUACACACCGCCCGUCGUUGUUACCGAUGUCAGUUUGAUACAGAUCGACGGACCGCGCCCGCGCCACCCCGGCCAGGCGCGGGAAGUCGAUCGAUAUUAAACUAGUAGAGGAAGCAAAAGUCGUAACAAGGUAGCUGUAGGUGAACCUGCAGCUGGAUCAUUAC
rnacentral:rRNA from 1 species